rnacentral:rRNA from 1 species
AGAGUUUGAUCCUGGCUCAGGAUGAACGCUGGCGGCGUGCUUAACACAUGCAAGUCGAACGAAGCACUUUGGACAGAUUCUUCGGAUGAAGUCCAUGGUGACUGAGUGGCGGACGGGUGAGUAACGCGUGGGUAACCUGCCUCAUACAGGGGGAUAACAGUUAGAAAUGGCUGCUAAUACCGCAUAAGCGCACGGUACUGCAUGGUACAGUGUGAAAAACUCCGGUGGUAUGAGAUGGACCCGCGUUGGAUUAGCUAGUUGGCAGGGUAACGGCCUACCAAGGCGACGAUCCAUAGCCGGCCUGAGAGGGUGGACGGCCACAUUGGGACUGAGACACGGCCCAGACUCCUACGGGAGGCAGCAGUGGGGAAUAUUGCACAAUGGGGGGAACCCUGAUGCAGCGACGCCGCGUGAGCGAAGAAGUAUUUCGGUAUGUAAAGCUCUAUCAGCAGGGAAGAAAAUGACGGUACCUGACUAAGAAGCCCCGGCUAACUACGUGCCAGCAGCCGCGGUAAUACGUAGGGGGCAAGCGUUAUCCGGAUUUACUGGGUAUAAAGGGUGCGUAGACGGGAAAACAAGUUAGUUGUGAAAUCCCUCGGCUUAACUGAGGAACUGCAACUAAAACUAUUUUUCUUGAGUGCUGGAGAGGAAAGUGGAAUUCCUAGUGUAGCGGUGAAAUGCGUAGAUAUUAGGAGGAACACCAGUGGCGAAGGCGACUUUCUGGACAGUAACUGACGUUGAGGCACGAAAGUGUGGGGAGCAAACAGGAUUAGAUACCCUGGUAGUCCACACCGUAAACGAUGGAUACUAGGUGUAGGGGAUGAAUAAUCUUCUGUGCCGUCGCAAACGCAGUAAGUAUCCCACCUGGGGAGUACGGCCGCAAGGUUGAAACUCAAAGGAAUUGACGGGGGCCCGCACAAGCAGUGGAGUAUGUGGUUUAAUUCGACGCAACGCGAAGAACCUUACCAGGGCUUGACAUAUAGAGGAAUAACUAAGAGAUUAGUUAGCUCUUCGGAGUCUCUAUACAGGUGGUGCAUGGUUGUCGUCAGCUCGUGUCGUGAGAUGUUGGGUUAAGUCCCGCAACGAGCGCAACCCCUGUUCUUAGUUGCCAGCACGUUAAGGUGGGAACUCUAAGAAGACUGCCGGUGAUAAAUCGGAGGAAGGUGGGGACGACGUCAAAUCAUCAUGCCCUAUAUGUCCUGGGCUACACACGUACUACAAUGGCUAUAACAAAGGGAAGCAAAACCGCGAGGUGGAGCAAAACCCAAAAAAGUAGUCUCAGUUCGGAUUGAAGGCUGAAAUUCGCCUUCAUGAAGCCGGAAUUGCUAGUAAUGGCAGGUCAGCAUACUGCCGUGAAUACGUUCCCGGGCCUUGUACACACCGCCCGUCACACCAUGAGAGUUGGGAAUACCCGAAGCCUGUGAGCUAACUGUAAAGAGGCAGCAGUCGAAGGUAGAAUCAAUGAUUGGGGUGAAGUCGUAACAAGGUA